rnacentral:misc_RNA from 1 species
GAUGAAGAACGUAGCGAAAUGCGAUAAGUAAUGCGAAUUGCAGAAUUCCAGUGAGUCAUCGAAUCUUUGAACGCACAUUGCGCCCUUUGGUAUUCCGAAGGGCAUGCCUGUUCGAGCGUCAUUAUCACCCCUCAAGCCCUCGGCUUGGUGUUGGACGGUUUGGUGGAGGCCCCCUCGGGGGCUCCUGCCCCUCCCAAAGACAAUGACGGCGGCCUCGUUGGACCCCCGGUACACUGAGUUCUUCACGGGACACGUAUCGGACACAUGGGUUUACGGGACACGGUCUGCCUCCCCUCAGGGAGAAUCUUUCUAAGGGUGACCUCGGAUCAGGUAGGGAUACCCGCUGAACUUAAGCAUAUCAAUAAGCGGAGGA